rnacentral:lncRNA from 1 species
AAGUCAAUGUUUUAAAAUGUGAUUACUUAUUGUGUUACUAUUUGGACAUCAUUUGAAAAAGCUUGUUAGUUGUAUGCUGUGAUUGUUUGCUUGCAAAUACAUAUAGCUUACUAAAAACCUUGCAAAUUAAGGUAACUUCUUGGCAACAAAAUUACCAAAAAUCUUGCAGAUACAGAAAGGUUGUCUUUUUUGUCUAGACAUUAUAGGAAAAUUCCACCAACAGUCUAUUCAGAGCUAAGGAUUGAGCACAGUUUCCAAAAGUAUGGUCCAUCAUCAUUGUCUAGCGUCUAAGUUGCAUAGAAAGUUGCUCCUGAACCACUUCACACCCAUGAUGAUGGCUAUAAUAAAAACAAUAGAAAAUAACAAGUGUGGGAGAGGAUUGGAGAAAUUAGAGCCCUUGUAUAUUUCUGGAAGCAUAAAAUCAUGCAGAUGCUAUGAAAAACUUAUAGUUCUUCAAAAAACUAAACACAGAAUUACCAUAUGACCCAGCAAUUCCACUCUUGUGUAUAAACCCAAAGGAAUUGAAAACAAGGACUAAAAAAGAUACUGAUACACUAAUGUUCACUGCAACAUUAUCAAUAAUAGCCAAAAGAUGGAAGCAACCAAAUGUCCAUCACAGAUGAAUGGAGUGUAUCCAUACAAUGGAAUACUAUUCAGCCUUAAAAAGGAAUGAAGUACUAAUACAUGUUACAAUACAGAUGAACCUCUAAAACACGUUAAGUGAAACUAGCCAGAAACAAAAGGAGAAAUACUGCAUGAUUCCAUUAUAUGAGAUAUCUAGAAUAGGCAAAUUCAUAGAGGCAGUAAGUAGAUUAAGGAUAUUAACCUUAAGAGAAGGGGAAAGAGGAAAAUAGGGAGUUAUUACUUAAUAAUUUCAGAGAUUGUCUUAGGAGUGAUGAAAAGCUUUUGGAAAUAAAUCAUGGCAAAAGUUGUACAACAUUGUAAAUGUAAUUAAUACUCAAUUGUACAUUUAGAAAUGGUUAAAAUUUUAAUUUUUAUGUUAUAUAUAUUGUAUGUUAUAUAUAAUUUUACCACAGUUUAAAAUAUUAAUAAUGUACCCCAAACCAUUGAAUGGGUAAAUUAUAUGGUGUGUGAAUUAUAUCUCAAUAAAGCUGUUAAAAAGAAAAAAAUGCUACUGAAUUAGCAAUGGUAACUAUGUUGACAAUGACAAAGAUGGUAAUUCUAAUAAAGGCAACAACUACCAUUUGGCAAGCAUCAUGCAAGAGCAUUACAGGGCUUUACUUCAUAAGAGUUCCUUAAGUUAGACAUAAUGGUACUGUCUCUCUUCUCACAUGAGGCACAGGGAGUUCAGGUAGCUCAUACAA